rnacentral:lncRNA from 7 species
CAACCUCUGCAGAGUGUAAAACUGGUAUACUAGCCGUGCUCACGGUCAUGAGCAGCUCGGACCCUCACAUGAUUAAUUUAUGGAACUUAAAUUCAAUUUGUCAUAUGCAUUGCAUCGCAGGUGAUGUUGUUACUUUUGUUCUACUACUUAAUUGGGUUGGUAUUUACUUAUACUUAGUAAUUGCUAAUAAAAUUUUGACCAACUUUAAAAGCAAUGCUCAGCUCUAACCAUCCUCUUUGGUAAGCCUUACACUUCACGUGAGCUCCCACCUUUGGCGAGUUCAUGCACAUUAUUCCCCACAACUUGUUGAGCGAUGAACGUAUGUGAGCUCACUCUUGCUGUCUCACACCCCCCACAGGUCAAGAACAGGUACCACAGGAUGAGGCGCAUGGAGGAUGCUGUGAUGAGUUCGUGAGAGGUCUAGGUCAUCGUCUCCGAGUCAACUUUGGGUUGCUGGACCGUUGUCUCCUUAUAAUGUAAUUAUUUAUUUAUUUUGUACAGAACUCCU